ACGAAUAAAUAAAUGUCAUGAUAUAAGAAGAUAAACAAAAUAGGCCAAUUUAGCUUGUGUUCCUUACUUUGGGUUUACUUCAGUCGCAGUGCGUAUUUAAUCAGAAUUCAGUGCCUACAAUAUUUCUGUAUGGAACGCACGAACACUACACAAGUCUUCCCGUGCAUAUUAUCAUCAUCGGUCUAAAAUCGGCGAGAUCUCUAGGCUUGUGUGGCGAUCGGCUGUGGCUAGGCUGGUGUGGCGAUCUUGACUAGACUGGUGUGGUGGUCGGCAGUGGUACAGUGCCGCGCGCACCCACACAUCUGUCAAGAGAGGGCCAAGUAAACAGCCAACAGGAGCCCCAAACGCUGCCCAUUAAUCAAGAAGGCAAGUCUGGUGGCGCGUGUUAACACUUCAUUUUGAUACAACAAACCCUCUAGCUUCGUACGUUUCUUUGCCCUCUCCCACGCCUGCCUUGUAUCCCAGCCAUCGCUGCCGCCGCCUCAUCCCUUCCCAUUCCUUGGUCAGCCAGGCGCCCUCCAUGUGUGUGUGUGUGUGUGUUCGCUGGCAUUACAUUAUAGUAUUCAUGUAGGAGAUGUGCAUUAUUUUUUAGUCUACUGUAAAGCAUUUCUUUCCUUCACUAUCAGAAAAGAAUUCUAACACUGCAAUGAUUUACAAAUUCACGGCAAAAAUGACAAACUACAAGGUUGUACUUUUUUCGCGGAGUUAACAUUGCCAGAUUUCUUGAUAUUUAGGAGACCUUUUUAGUGAUCCAUAACAUUUACUGAAUUUGCUGAAAGCCUGAAACCUUUCCUUUGCGUUCAAGUAACCGAACCGUCUCGAAACACGGAACCGAAGCGAAGCGAGUCACUUACUGAAGCCACAGCACGUCACUAGUCACGACUCACCACUCACUAACCAGUCCCUGCGGCUUUGUUGUGUGGCACGUGUGUAACAUCUUGUCUUCUGAGGUGUCUAGUUGUAGUGAAGGAGACACGGGAACAGAAUUGUUGAAGGUGAAGUUUUGUGCGAGGCCUGCACCAACUGACAGCAGCUCAAUAGAACGGAUUAUGGUCGUGAGCCAAGGACACCAACGUACAACAAGAUCGCUGGGCCAGCAAUAUACAUGUAAGCUUGGAAUCUGCCGUGCUGUGGAGGAAAAGAUCGUGUGGGCUAAAACAUAAGAAUAGGAACAUAAGACAAGAGACUUUCAAGAGAACACUAGAUCGAUUUCAGCGGGAGAUAAAGGAAGGUCUAUCAGCUCCGUUAUAGCACACAGGAUCUCAGUACUAGAGCUACAAAGGCUGUGUGGAUAACAUGAUCUACAACAGUAAACAAAUCAAUAAAAGUCUAGAUGCGUUGAUAGCUACACUAAAAACAUAACGACCAGAAUAGAAUGCAGACAAUUAAUAACAAGAAAGAAUUAGACGGACAAAUAAAUAGAUACGUUUACAUUGAAAUUUGAGACUGUACUGGCCUAACUUAUUAAAAUCGCUUCUAUAAUUGUGUUCUUUAGAGCUCUACAUAUUUGGGAGUCUUUUUUUUCUUUUUUCCUUGAUUUUUGUGUCUUGGAAGAAGAAAAGUAGUAAAUGAAUAAACAAAUAAGAACACAUACGUAGAUAAAAAUUACGAAGUCAAUUAAUGUAAGAUGAAAAGAAAAAAAAAGUGAUAGUAAGAUAAAAAAAAAAUAGA